GAGGCUAUGAUGAUAACCUUUCUUUACGGAUCCAUAUGAUUACGAUGAUAUAAACUUCUUUGCCAAUCUAUAUCUGAGCCUC
rnacentral:snoRNA from 1 species